AUACGUAGGGUGCGAGCGUUGUCCGGAAUUACUGGGCGUAAAGAGCUCGUAGGUGGUUUGUCGCGUCGUCUGUGAAAUUCCGGGGCUUAACUCCGGGCGUGCAGGCGAUACGGGCAUAACUUGAGUACUGUAGGGGAGACUGGAAUUCCUGGUGUAGCGGUGAAAUGCGCAGAUAUCAGGAGGAACACCGGUGGCGAAGGCGUGUCUCUGGGCAGUAACUGACGCUGAGGAGCGAAAGCAUGGGUAGCGAACAGGAUUAGAUACCCUGGUAGUCCAUGCCGUAAACGGUGGGCGCUAGGUGUAGGGGUCUUCCACGACUUCUGUGCCGUAGCUAACGCAUUAAGCGCCCCGCCUGGGGAGUACGGCCGCAAGGCUAAAACUCAAAGGAAUUGACGGGG
rnacentral:rRNA from 1 species